UACGGAGGGGGCUAGCGUUGUUCGGAAUUACUGGGCGUAAAGCGCACGUAGGCGGCUUUGUAAGUUAGAGGUGAAAGCCCAGGGCUUAACCCUGGAAUCGCCUUUAAGACUGCAUCGCUAGAAUCGUGGAGAGGUGAGUGGAAUUCCGAGUGUAGAGGUGAAAUUCGUAGAUAUUCGGAAGAACACCAGUGGCGAAGGCGACUCACUGGACACGUAUUGACGCUGAGGUGCGAAAGCGUGGGGAGCAAACAGG
rnacentral:rRNA from 1 species